rnacentral:rRNA from 1 species
AGAGUUUGAUCCUGGCUCAGAACGAACGCUGGCGGCGUGGAUUAGGCAUGCAAGUCGAACGGCAACCCGCGUGAUCAAUUCUUCGGAAGAGAUCUGCGGGCUAGAGUGGCGCACGGGUGAGUAACGCGUGGGUAACUUGCCUCCAAGUUGGGAAUAGCCCGCCGAAAGGCGGGGUAAUACCGAAUGUGGUCGUCCCGGGGCAUCCCGGGGCUAUCUAAAGGCGGGCUCCUUCGGGACCUGUCGCUUGGGGAUAGGCCCGCGUCCCAUCAGCUAGUUGGUAGGGUAACGGCUUACCAAGGCUUACGGGUAGCUGGUCUGAGAGGAUGGUCAGCCACACUGGGACUGAGACACUGCCCAGACUCCUACGGGAGGCUGCAGUCGAGAAUCAUUCGCAAUGCGCGAAAGCGUGACGAUGCGACGCCGCGUGCAGGAUGAAGGCCUUCGGGUUGUAAACUGCUGUCAUGGGGGAACAACCGCUCCGCCGCGAAUACCGGCGGGGCGUGAUGGUACCUCAAGAGGAAGCCACGGCUAACUCUGUGCCAGCAGCCGCGGUAACACAGAGGUGGCGAGCGUUGUUCGGAUUUACUGGGCGUAAAGGGUGCGUAGGCGGUUCCGUAUGUCGGAUGUGAAAUCCCACGGCUCAACCGUGGAAUGGCAUCCGAAACUGCGGGGCUAGAGUACAGGAGAAGAGAGCGGAAUUCUCGGUGUAGCGGUGAAAUGCGUAGAUAUCGAGAGGAACGCCGGUGGCGAGAGCGGCUCUCUAGACUGAUACUGACGCUGAGGCACGAAAGCUGGGGGAGCAAACAGGAUUAGAUACCCUGGUAGUCCCAGCCGUAAACGUUGUGCACUUGGUGUGGGGGGUCUUGUCCCCCUCCGCGCCGGAGCUAACGCGUUAAGUGCACCGCCUGGGGAGUACGGCCGCAAGCUAAAACUCAAAGGAAUUGACGGGGGCCCGCACAAGCGGUGGAGCAUGUGGCUUAAUUCGAUGCAACGCGAAGAACCUUACCGGGGCUUGACAUGCAGGUGGUACGAACCUGAAAGGGUAAGGACCCCGCAAGGGGAGCCUGCACAGGUGCUGCAUGGCUGUCGUCAGCUCGUGCCGUGAGGUGUUGGGUUAAGUCCCGCAACGAGCGCAACCCUUGUGGUUAGUUGCCCCCUCCAACGAAAGGCGGAGAGCACUCUAACCAGACUGCCUGUGAUAAGCAGGAGGAAGGUGGGGAUGACGUCAAGUCAGUAUGGUCCUUAUGUCCUGGGCUGCACACGUGCUACAAUGGCCGGCACAGAGGGAUGCAAAGCCGCGAGGUGGAGCAAAUCCCCAAAACCGACCUCAGUACAGAUCGAAGUCUGCAACUCGACUUCGUGAAGCCGGAAUCGCUAGUAAAGGCGUAUCAGCUACGACGCCUUGAAUACGUUCCCGGGCCUUGUACACACCGCCCGUCACAUCAUGAAAGCCGACUGCACCCGAAGUCGCCGGGCCAAUCCGGAGAUUCGUCGAAGGAAGGCAGGCGCCGAAGGUGUGGUUGGUGAUUGGGAUGAAGUCGAAACAAGGUA